AGUGAACGCUGGCGGUAGGCCUAACACAUGCAAGUCGAACGGCAGCACAGUAAGAGCUUGCUCUUACGGGUGGCGAGUGGCGGACGGGCGAGGAAUACAUCGGAAUCUACUUUUUCGUGGGGGAUAACGUAGGGAAACUUACGCUAAUACCGCAUACGACCUACGGGUGAAAGCAGGGGAUCUUCGGACCUUGCGCGAUUGAAUGAGCCGAUGUCGGAUUAGCUAGUUGGCGGGGUAAAGGCCCACCAAGGCGACGAUCCGUAGCUGGUCUGAGAGGAUGAUCAGCCACACUGGAACUGAGACACGGUCCAGACUCCUACGGGAGGCAGCAGUGGGAAUAUUGGACAAUGGGCGCAAGCCUGAUCCAGCCAUACCGCGUGGGUGAAGAAGGCCUUCGGGUUGUAAAGCCCUUUUGUUGGGAAAGAAAAGCAGCAGGUUAAUACCCCGCUGUUCUGACGGUACCCAAAGAAUAAGCACCGGCUAACUUCGUG
rnacentral:rRNA from 1 species